UACGUAGGGUCCGAGCGUUGUCCGGAAUUAUUGGGCGUAAAGGGCUCGUAGGCGGUUCGUACAGUCAGACGUGAAAUUCCUGGGCUCAACCUGGGGGCUGCGUUUGAUACGUGCGGACUUGAGUGCGGAAGAGGGUCGUGGAAUUCCCAGUGUAGAGGUGAAAUUCGUAGAUAUUGGGAAGAACACCGGUGGCGAAGGCGGCGACCUGGUCCGAUACUGACGCUGAGGCGCGAAAGCGUGGGGAGCAAACAGG
rnacentral:rRNA from 1 species